UGCCCCAUGGCUGAGUUGGUUACAGCGUCCGACUGUUAUGUACGUACCUAAUAAUCGGAAGGUCGAGAGUUCGAGCCUCUCUGGGGCAG
rnacentral:tRNA from 1 species